GCUGUUUUAGCUCAGUUGGUAGAGCACUUCCUUGGUAAGGAAGAGGUCGCUGGUUCGAAUCCAGUAAACAGCU
rnacentral:tRNA from 1 species